GCUGGCGACCAUAGCAAGAGUGAACCACCUGAUCCCUUCCUGAACUCAGAAGUGAAACCUCUUAGCGCUGAUGGUAGUGUGGGGUCUCCCAUGUGAGAGUAAGUCAUCGCCAGCU
rnacentral:rRNA from 2 species